rnacentral:rRNA from 1 species
AUUGAACGCUGGCGGCAGGCCUAACACAUGCAAGUCGAGCGGAUGAAGGGAGCUUGCUCCUGGAUUCAGCGGCGGACGGGUGCGUAAUGCCUAGGAAUCUGCCUGGUAGUGGGGGAUAACGUCCGGAAACGGGCGCUAAUACCGAAUACGUACUGUGGGAGAAAGUGGGGGAUCUUCGGACCUCACGCUAUCAGCAGAGCCUAGGUCGGAUUAGCUAGUUGGUGGGGUAAAGGCAUACCAAGGCGACGAUCCGUAACUGGUCUGAGAGGAUGAUCAGUCACACUGGAACUGAGACACGGUCCAGACUCCUACGGGAGGCAGCAGUGGGGAAUAUUGGACAAUGGGCGAAAGCCUGAUCCAGCCAUGCCGCGUGUGUGAAGAAGGUCUUCGGAUUGUAAAGCACUUUAAGUUGGGAGGAAGGGCAGUAAGUUAAUACCUUGCUGUUUUGACGUUACCAACAGAAUAAGCACCGGCUAACUUCGUG